rnacentral:tRNA from 1 species
GCGAUUGGGCGACAGCCUGCACGAAGCUGACUGUGGCUCAGGAGGUCGUGGGUUCGAAUCCCAUCAGCCGCCCCA